GUGUCAGCAGCCGCGGUAAUACGUAGGCAGCAAGCGUUGUUCGGAAUUACUGGGCGUAAAGAGUGCGUAGGCGGUUGGCUAAGUUUGGUGUGAAAUCUCCCGGCUUAACUGGGAGGGUGCGCCGAAAACUGGCUAGCUAGAGUGUGGGAGAGGAUAGUGGAAUUCCUGGUGUAGCGGUGAAAUGCGUAGAUAUCAGGAGGAACACCUGCGGUGUAGACGGCUAUCUGGACCAUGACUGACGCUGAGGCACGAAAGCGUGGGUAGCAAACAGGAUUAGAUACCCUGGUAGUCCACGCCCUAAACGAUGCAAACUUGGUGUGCGCCCUUCAUUGGGUGCGUGCCGUAGCUAACGCGUUAAGUUUGCCGCCUGGGGAGUACGGUCGCAAGGCUGAA
rnacentral:rRNA from 1 species